GGGCUGUAUUUCCUCAGGCCACUUUACUGUGGGAUUGACAGUUUUGCCUAAUAUUUAAUGAAAAUUUGCUUUCUUUAUUUUGUCACAUUACACUUGGCUGUGAAGGUUUGUUAACUUAUGUCUUUAAGGAUCACUAAUGCCAGUGUACUGUGAGGAUAAACAUGAGUGGUAGAUGGUGAAGACUGAAAAACUCUUUGUAACAAACCACCCAUGCAUAUAUAUAUUUUAUAUAGAGGCAUACAUAUAUAUACAUGUACACAAUAGUUGCAAAGUUAAUCUUUAACACCUAUUCCACUCCCAGACCAGCUUUGGGAUUAUUUUUGAUCACUGUUUAAGAUCCUUCAGUAUACAAUCUGCAGUGUGACAAUCAUAUAAAACUGUGUCAGAGUCAGGCAGUGACUUUAAUUGUAGCACAAAUGUAAUGUGACACGAACAAUGCACCCUGGUGUUCUGAGGAAUAACACAAUGCGUCACAGUGGCAAUGUGUAAAUUAGGUUUCUCCAAGUAGCAUUGUUAUGGAAAAUAUGGCCUUCAGAUGAAGCUAUUGCACAGCAGCCCAGGAAUUCGAGCUCAGGAGUCUUUCUUCAUAGAGUUCCCACUUUCACUACUGAGAAUAUGCAUCACUUGAAAGGCCACACAGACACAGGAGGAAGAAACAUUCACCUGUCUACCAAUGCAGCAUGUGAAAGGAUCUGGGAGCUGGGAAGAGCACUACAGGUCAUCUUUUUGCAAUAUUCACAUUUAAACCAUGAGAAGGAAAUCUCUGAUUUAUGAUAAAAUGAGGUGAACUUUUGCCUCUGGUAUUAAAAAAAUAAAAUAAACACAAGGAAUAUUAAACA
rnacentral:lncRNA from 1 species